rnacentral:tRNA from 1 species
GGGGAUAUAUCUCAGUUGGUAGAGUAUUUGCCUUGCAUGCACAAGGUCCUGGGUUCAAUCCCUAGCACUACCA